rfam:Dictyostelium discoideum AX4 chromosome 4, whole genome shotgun sequence.
GCGUGUUUGAUCGCUAUCUGGGGAUGCGUGUGGACUUCAAAUCCAUAGCUCGAUAACUCGAGAGUUGUUCGAUUCAACCUGACGCGC